AAGUGCUCGGCUUCUUUGUGUUAGCAAUCAUUGACGCCUACUUGGAAGGCAAGCUAGAGGUACUGGAUAUGGAUAACUUCAAACAGGUUUUUUUUAUGGCCGUAUGGGUUUUGGGAAAAUAAACUUUUUGCAGGAAGUAUUAGAUAGUUUUGAAGUUUUCCUAAACCUUAAACUCUCCUCACGUCGUUGAAGGAAGCUCUGGAUUCGACCAAGGAGUUGCUUAGACUUGGGAGCAAGGGGAGCAAGGUUUGUUUGUGUUGAACAAGUUUGGGCAAAGAUCUGGUUUGGGGCUUGAAGGAGCUGCUUUGGCAGCUUCUAUUUAAUCGUAGAUAGUUUUUUUGGUUGUGGUCGUUCACAUGCUUAAGUCUCAUAAAUGUAAGCUCACAUGGAAAGGAUUCUCUUUGAAGCUUUUAUGCAAUUUGAUGUAGGUGGACAAGAGCUUGGAGGAAUGCAUUAUGUCACAUUAUUUGUCGAAGUAAGAAUCUUUCUUAUCGAUGUAACCUAUAACCUGUAUAGCAACUGUAAGAGUAAGUGCACUAUCUCUCAUUGAAGUGUUGUGAUAUUGUGGCUAAGUUGCAUGGUUGAACUUGUUUUCAUUAGUUGUCUUGUUGUGGUAUUAUUUCUAUUUUUCGUAAAAUGAUUGUCGUUCAAACAUUCAGCCAAGACACAAGACCUCCAAAACCAUAUGUUUUCUUAUCCUAUUGCUUGUUUUUUCUCUAUGUAAUUAUUACUCUUUUAAAUUCUCAUAUUCCAACCCCAUCCCUAGAUGAAGCUUGCUGGAUUAAUUUAUGAUGGGUUGGAAAAACCUUUUUAUUCCUUUUCGUUCCUUAGUAUUUUAGUUUUUUUUUAUUUUUAUUUUGUGUUGUCAUAUUUUUUAGAAUACAUUGCAUAUCAUAGGUGAUGGUUUUGAGAGCUUGUUUACCGCCCUAUGCUGCUUAAAAUUCUCUCAAAGUUAUGAAAUAGAGUAAGGUUAGUCCAUUGGAACUUUUUUUUUUGUAGAUAGGCCUAGAAAAACUCCUCAGUACUAGAAGGUUAGCACGAGGAAGGAGCGAGAAGCCUAUGACCUACACAUAUAGAGGUACACAUGCUACCUUCUUUUUAUUGGGUUAUUGGUUAUUUAUAGGAAAUGGAAGGUGAUAGAAGACUUACAAUACAAAGGCAUGAAGCAAUCCCAGACAAUCGAGCAUCCAUCCAAAUAAUGGAGAAUACUUUAUUUUGUAUUGUUUGAAGAACUUUUUUAUUAUACGAAAUUACUGAAUACUCAUUUUGUAAUGUAAAUAGAUGAUGAAGUUUCAAUUGUGAAUGGAAAUUACAGUAUCUAACUUGCAAUGAA